AACACAAUGAAAAAAUCAAUGGGAUAAUAAAAAAUUGUACCUAACUCUAUGUUAUUAUAACCAAUAUUGAACCAAAAUAUAAUUUAUUCAGUUUUUUUUUAAAUAUGUGCAUUGUUGAUGGUAACCAAAAAAAAAGAAAAUAAUCCACUAUGUUUUAUCCAAAUGUACCCACAAAAGAUAUUGUGCAAUCCUUGCCAAAUUUUGAAGAGUUGUUCGAAAUGUCAAGUCUCAAGACCAAAACAAAGGUCAAUCACAUCACGUAACUUUUUGGAAAAAACUGGGUAGAACGAUCAUCCUAUUCUAGAUAGAUGUCUUCAUCUCAAUGGAAAAAAUAUCGUAACCAAUGAAAUACAUCUAAUAAGUAUCGAAAGAUGCAAUCAACGAUUUAGUAAGUUAAUUUUUACUUUUUUUUUAAGAAAUAGAAAUGACUAUAGAUGGUUCUUUUGAAAGAGCGCCAAGAGAAAGUGGGAGCAAGACUUAUGGUAUUACUGAAUUAAGACCGAUGUUAAUAUCAGCUGCCUCUUUUAUUAUUAUGGAGAGAGAAAAUUAACCUUCUUUUCUUUUUCUAAUCGCUAUACUUAGUUUUUUCUUUACACGCUGUCAUUCUUUAAUGAUGAGAUUGACCAAAGCCUCCUGUAAGCAGGACAGGCCAGAGCAAACAUGAAUUCAAAUACUUGUGCUACAUGUGUCUAUUAAUAAAACAAACAAUGCAACGUGUUUGGUAAGAUAAUAAGUAAUAACUGAGAACUAUUGGUUACUUUGUGGACGCCAUCUUUAUUGUGUUUUGUAAUUCCAAUCAUGCCCACUAAGUGUUGUGCUUCAGGGUGUAGAAAGAACUAUGACAACGAGUCACAGCAGUCUGGUGUUACGAUCCAUCUCUGGCCAAACAAAAAGAGAAAUCCCGGACUUGAUACCGCCUGGCUAUGAGCCAUUCCAAGAGAAACAGAUCUGAAGAAGACCGAUUAGGGACCAUCCAAAAGUACAAAGCUGUGUUCCCUAAAUUUCAACGACUCUGAGUCUAAAAGAAGUCAGACCCAUGGCAAGGCUCUAAAUAAGAGGUACCUCAAACCAGACGUAGUACCAUCCCUAUGGCCAAACUGCCCCAACUACCCCUCAUCAAGGCCAACUCAAGCUGCGACCACAUCACGUAGGGCUCAAACGUUCAAUGACCUACAACAGUAUCUGGAACUUGAACUCUUGAUUGAGGAGUAAGUCCUCUUUGUCAAAGAACUUAGUGACAAAUUGGCCAAGGAGACACUCCCAUCAGACUUCAUCCUCCUCACAAAACCAAGUGUUGCCCUUUUGAAGCUAUCCCAUGAUGAGAAAUUGGGUCCCCAAGUAGUAGCCAGUAUCCAGUUUGAGACAGAUAUGUCAUUCAAAAUGUACCACUCUGGUGUGUUGAUUGACAAAAAAGGCAAUUUCACACAUCACCUCGGAAGGCAAGGUCAACACUGUGAUUCAGGCUAUCAAUUUGACAUCAUUUCUUGGAGGAAAAGAAGAAUUGAAUAAAACAGAGACUUAGGAAGGUAUUCUCAACGAGUUAGUGAAGUUUCUCAACUCCUCAGAAACACCUAGAGUUGGUUACGAAAAGAGAGAUAAUCUUCGGGAACCAAUCUCUGAGAAGAAGAAACUUCGCCUCUCUUUCUUGAGAGAUUUUGUCGUCUUUAUCAUCGAGUAGCAAAAACAGUAAAGAACCUGGCCUCACAACAGAAAUCUUCCUAGCAACAAAGCAGACGUGCUUUGCCGCAGCAGAUCUGGCAGAGUAUAUUUUCCUAGAUGAAGACUUUCCUAUGUACUACUCGGCAUAUUCCAGUCUGAUCACAUCGAAAGAAGGUUCGGCUGAUACAGCCAACUAAGUAAAGGUAUCUACUACAUCCGCAUGAGACAGAUCCUGGAAGCAGAGAAAAAGAUUCGUAUUCUGAGUCUUGUCAAAUUCUCAGGUAUGACUACUUCAGAAAUUAAAGCUCUGCUGGAUGAAGACCUGGUAAAAGCUCAGCUUAUUUUGACUAACUGGUAACCAGAUGACCUCCAGGACCUAGGUUCCAAGGGAGAGAGUAAUGCUUUCUACUUUGUUGCCGGGUUUAUUGGUUCUUCUUUCAAGAAGAUCAGCUGUACAUCAUGCCAAGAGUUAAUGUUCCUCAGACACAUCUCCAGACUCAAUAACCUUUGAUAGCCCAACCAAUCAGCAUGUACACCUGAAUGAAUUCAUCGACAUAAUGAACAGAGGGAGGUUGUCGACUACAUCCGACCUUUUCUACCUCUCCUGUCUUUAUGCUCACUCCAUGUUCUCUUACAUCCCAGCUACUCCUGAAGAGAAAGACAGUUUACUUGGCACCCCAAAUCCUAGAGCUUCAUUUGUUGCCACAUUCACUGACAGGAUGCAAGACAGUUCAAACUCUCAUAUUAUUGCCGUUGUGGGAGUAAAGUGCGAGGAAGGACACUCCUGGUCAGCUUUUCUUCAAAUAAUUUCAUUCGCUUUGUUUCAUGUCAUGGGUAAAAGUUAAAGUGCUAAAAUGAAUAACAUCCGAUUUUUAACAAAAAAGAGAAUGGCAGCUAAGAAUUCAGAAGCUAAUAGAAAAAAAAGCUAAAUUUCAAUCAAAAUCUUCCGACUUGUAGACUUGGACCAACUUUGUA
rnacentral:lncRNA from 1 species